GACGAACGCUGGCGGCGUGCUUAACACAUGCAAGUCGAACGGUGAAGCGCCUUCCUUUUUGGUGGGUGUGGACGAGUGGCGAACGGGUGAGUAACACGUGAGUAACCUGCCCCCUUCUUCUGGAUAACCGCAUGAAAGUGUGGCUAAUACGGGAUAUUCUGGGUCUGUCGCAUGAUGGGUCUGGGAAAGAUAUUGUUUCGGUGGGGGAUGGGCUCGCGGCCUAUCAGCUUGUUGGUGGGGUGAUGGCCUACCAAGGCGGUGACGGGUAGCCGGCCUGAGAGGGUGGACGGUCACACUGGGACUGAGACACGGCCCAGACUCCUACGGGAGGCAGCAGUGGGGAAUAUUGCACAAUGGGCGCAAGCCUGAUGCAGCGACGCCGCGUGAGGGAUGGAGGCCUUCGGGUUGCGAACCUCUUUCGCCAGUGAAGCAGGCCUGCCUCGUUUGUGGGUGGGUUGACGGUAGCUGGAUAAGAAGCGCCGGCUAACUACGUG
rnacentral:rRNA from 1 species